CGCUAAAGGGAUUGGGGUGGGGGCGGGGGGAAGGAAAAAAAAAACCACCAACAAAGAGUUCAAGAUAGCAGUUCCCAGCUUUUUCAAAUAUGAAGCAUUUUUUAACCAAUCCAUUUUUUAAUUUUUAAAUCCUUGACAUUACAGAACUAAACUGAAAUUUAUUAACAUUCCACUCUUAACAUUUCUUAUCGACAAACAGAAAUAAAAUCCAUGAGCCAAAAACCCAAAACAAAACUAAAAACAGGGAAAAGCUUAUAAAACUAAAUAUGGAUCCCAGCGUUAACAGCUGAACAGAGAAAUGUGAUUUCUUUUUUUUUCCUUUUUUAAAUUCUUAGCAGAUGAUAAAGUCGUGUAGAAACUGAAACACUUACAAAUUAUUUAAAACCUGGAAUCACUGACCAGAAAUUACACAGUUGGAUCAUGGGAAAACAGCAGAAAGGGGUUGGGGGGGGGCGGGUGGGGUGGUGGUGGUGGUGGUGGUUUGUAAGCGGACCUACACCGUUCUAGCUGCACCCCAUGCCCUUCUCGGAGGAGAGCCUGGCAUUGAUUAGAUACUGGGCCAGACUAAUACUGGCAGCAGAACCAGUGAUAGUAACCUGCCUACCAGAGGAGCCUUCCACCGGGUUGGCAAUUUUGAUCUGGGCCCCGGACAUCUGGCGGAUCUCAUUAAUGUUGGCGCCCUGGCGCCCGAUUAUGCAGCCAAUUAAGUUAUUUGGAAUGGUGAGUUCAUGGGUGGUUUGGGUGGACGCAUCCAAACUUGCCCAAUAGCCUUUCACCUCGGGAGAGCUGGAGUCAAUUCCGGCGAAUCCCGUCCCGCCGUGCAUCAUGGCAAAGUGAGACUGUUGUCUUGCCACCUGGUUCAGCUUGGCCAGGUCGAGCGGAGAGAUGGUGUGUUGUCCUUGGAUCGAGUAGGCGUCCAGGGGCGGCCCCUCCAGGUCGUGGGUGGCGUGCGGGUAGCCGGCCGCGUCGCCGCAGCGGUCUUGGCCGCCCGCGCAGAUGACCGGCGAGCUGGCCGGCAUGGGCUGGUACGGGAUGGUCAUGACUCUCCCCUGCGGGGACUGGGAGAGCGUCUCGAGCAUGACCAGGCAGAUCUGCUUGACACACUCGGUGACCGACUGCGGCACGCCCGCGAUGGUGAUGGCCCGCUCGGUCGAGUUGGGCAGCAUAUCCCCCGCCACCUGCACCUGGGCGCCCGUGCUCUCGCGGAUCUCCUUGAUCUUGCAGCCGCCCUUGCCGAUGAGCGAGCCGCACUGCGUGGCCGGCACCACGAGCCGCAGGGUGACCGGGGGCCUGCUGGCCGCCGUGCUGUUGGUCAUGGAGCUGUUGAUGUCUUCCUCCAGCUUGUCGAUGAUCAUGGCGAAGGCCUUGAAGAUGGCAUUGGUCGGGCCCGUCAGGGUGAUGAUCCGCUCGGGGCAGUUGCCCUCCGAGAUGUUGAUCCGCGCGCCGCUCUCCUCGCGGAUCCUCUUCACCGACUCCCCUUUCUUCCCGAUGAUGCUCCCCACUUCCUUCCCGUGCAUGAGCAGCCGAAUGACGGAGCCCCCAGGCCCGAGAGACCGAGGCCCGGAGCGCAGGCCGCCGCCGCCGCCGCCGCCGCCGCCGGGAGCACGUGCGCAGCCUCGGUCGCUGGGCCGGGCGGCGACGCCGAGGUGAGACCUGCGCUAUCUUGUGGAUGUUUGAAUUCAACACCACCCAUUUUACAGAUGAAGCCACUGAGAUACAGAACAAUUGACUAAGUAGUCGCUGCCCCUCCUCUGGAGUCUCAUGCAUGACUCUGCUUUUCCCAUUGAAUGACUGCAUGUAGUUAAGGAUUUUAAUGAGGUUGUGAAG
rnacentral:lncRNA from 1 species